rnacentral:lncRNA from 1 species
CACUCCUGCCUCCCAGGUCUGACGGGGACUCCGGCUCGGAGCUGGGCCCCCGAGGCCGCCAGGGAGGUGACUGCGGGCGACGCCGGGAUUUUGGUUUGGGUAACUGGGUAGAUGGGGGCGCCAUUAUCGCGCUUCUCUUGCAGGGGGCCGGUGAAGGUUAUACGAGAGGCUCCAUCUGUCCUUAUUGAAAGUGCUCUUAACGCAGGGACCAGCCGUCUUGCUGACGCCUGGGCCACCGAGCACAGGGACAGGACGGGGUUGCUGGAGGUGCAAGCUGGGAGAAAGCAGAGAACUGACUCCAUGCAGAGUUGGGAUUAAGAGCCCCUGGACAAGGGGCCGAGGCAGUGAAGGACGUCCAUCACUCAUCUGCCACUAUCCUCCUCACAUUUAAUCCUCACAACACCCCUGUGAGGUUUAUCCGCUUCACCUGUUGCUGGGGAACACUGCUCUCCGGGGGACUUGGGGGACGACACUGUAAACAUGACUUCCUGGCCUGAUGGUGGCAGGGCUGUGUGUGCGAGUCACUGUCCAGGGACAGCACUGAGGCAAAAUGUCCACCAGCUGCGGGAUGGAUAAACACAUGUGGUCCAUGCAGGGGAAUAUUAUUCAGCCAUGAAAAAGAACAAAGCAGGGACACACACCACAUGGACAAACCCAGCAAACGUUACCGCGAGGGAAAUCACCUAGACACAGAAGGCCACUUGUCCGAUGACGCCAUUUAUAUGGAAUGUACAGAAUGGGAAACAUCCAUGGACAGAAAGUAGACUACUGGGGGUCAUCUAGCGCUGAGGAAGUUGGGGGGAACGGGAGGGUGACAGCUGAGGGGUGUGUUGUCCCUUUGGGGAAAGUGAAAAUGUCAUCAAUUUGAUUGUUGUGAUGACAAGCACAACUGUGUGAAUAAAAGCCCGUUAAAUCACACAAUCAAAGGAAGUGUAGUUUCUAAAUAACGUUUCUAAUUUAUCUUGUUUGGAAAAAAAAUUAACUUCUUCAGGAGGAAGAGAAUAAACGCAGCCCAGAAACAGCUUUUGGUGGCCAGGGUUGGGACGAUCUGUGCUCCCCAUAAGCAAAGGUGGGUGGGACGAGACCCAUGCGAACCCUUCUACUGUCAGCCUCGUUCCUUGCCCAGAAGGCACAGGGUCCGGGCACUGCAGGAGAAAGCAGCAUGAGCAGCAGCACAUGCCAAAGCCCGGGAGAUGCCACCAGGUCCCCUGUGGCUGGAGCACAGCAUGGUGGGAGAAAAAGCAGAUGGGCCACAGAAGGGGCUGCUCAAGGGCAUCGAGACCCCCAGGGAGUUCUGAUCUCAUCCUGGAAGCCGGACAGCGAGGCCCUGGGUGACGUACACGGGACAUGUGCGGGGCGGCUGCCACAGUGUUCCAGGAGGCCGGGCAGCCGCCACGGAUAGCUCCAGUCCCCAAGCUGUGAGCGCACGAGGAAACUGCACUGACGAGGAUGCAGGGAUGGAGAAGCAGCAGCGGCUGGUGGAGGCCUCAGCUGGGCACACAGGGCUUCAUGCACCACGACCCACCAGGGCCAGAACAGGCAACAGGCCGUUGGCUGAGUCACGCUGGCAGGGGGGUGGCAGGUCAAGGUUGAGAUGUGGCCUGAAUUCUGGAAGUGGUGAAGUCUCCCAGGAAGGAGUCUGAGGAGUGGCAGAAAGCCAGAAUUCCGGGGCCCCUUGGGGUGGGUGGGAAGGGAGACCAACACCUAGGCCGCAUGGCCUAGGGCAGGAAGCCGAAGCCCCCGAGGGAGGGAGGGUCAGCGUAAUGCUGGCUGGAGAAAAGCACCCAGGCCUGCUGUGCUGGUGCCUGUGGUUUCUGCUACUCGGGAGGCUGACACAAAAGAAUCCCUUGAGCCCGGGAGGUCAGGGCUGCAGUGAGCUAGGAUGGU